UUCUCUUUCCCUGGUUUACAUAAUUAUAAACAGGGUCAUUUAAAAGGGAGAUUUUGGAGUACUUUGAUGGAGAGAUAGGGACACCAACUCUCUGCCAGAGGUGGACCAUGUGCACGGCCUUCAUUGUGUCCCGGGGUGAGAAGCUCCCCCUUGCCUCCCUGACCAGACGUUUUGGCCGUCCUCCAGUCUCCCUGGUAUUUGAGCUCGCCUGGCAUUUAUUGGACAUCUACCAUAAGCCAGAUAUUAUGCUAGGAGUUGUGAAUACAAAGACAAAUUGAAACUGCUAAUUGGGCAUAUCCCUCAAGAAGCUUGCACCGUGGAGGUGGGGAAACAAGAGCCAACUUAAAUCCUGUGGCAACCAGAACCCACAUCAGUGGCAAUGGUGUGGCACUGGGGAGACACAACCCCCAAUGGCCCGUCACCGCAGCUCCCGAGCUUACCUCCAAAGAGUCUUCUGUUAGAGUAACCUCUUAGAAGGUACAAUCCUGAAACUGGGCUUGAGGCAGAGGCAUCACAGUGUGGUGAAAUGGAAAGAAAACUGCCUGAAAUCUACUUCUGAGUCUGAGUUAAAUCACUUCCUGGCUAUAUGUCCAGUGUAAGAUACUUAACCUCCCUGACCCUCAGUUUCUCCAUCAAUAAAAGGAUAAUUGCCUCAACAGAUGGUUUAGAGAAAGAAUG